AGUUACGGAGCUUUGUAAGUCCUAAGCCUGUGUUUUGAAAACACAAGAAAGGGGUUAAAACCCCCUAGUAACUU
rnacentral:tRNA from 1 species